GAUGAACGCUGGCGGCGUGCCUAAUACAUGCAAGUCGAGCGAACAGACGAGGAUCUUGCUCCUCUUACGUUAGCGUCGGACGGGUGAGUAACACGUGGAUAACCUACCUAUAAGACUGGGAUAACUUCGGGAAACCGGAGCUAAUACCUGAUAACAUGUUGAACCGCAUGGUUCAACAUUUAACGACGGUCUUUCUGUCACUUAUUGAUGGAUCCGCGCCGCAUUAGCUAGUUGGUAAGGUAACGGCUUCCCAAGGCAACGAUGCGUAGCCGACCUGAGAGGGUGAUCGGCAACACUGGAACUGAGACACGGACAAGACGCAGACGGGAGGCAGCAGUAGGGAAUCUGACGAAUGGGGCGAAAGCCUGACGGAGAAACGCCGAGUGAGUGAAGAAGGUCAUCGGAUCGUAAAACUCUGUUAUUAGGGAAGAACAAAUGUGUAAGUAACUAGGAACGUCGUGACGGUACCUAAUCAGAAAGCCACGGCUAACUACGUG
rnacentral:rRNA from 1 species